GUUGAAACCAAGAUCCGACGCUCAAUAUUGCUCCACGUUGCCCUCUUCCUCUUUCUCUCUCACACACAGACACGUAUAAUCUAUCUAAUAUUGGUCAUCUGGAAGAUACCAGUCUGCUUUUUGUACGCUCUCACUCCAUUAAUGGGAGCGAAGAAAUUUCUAAUAGUCCAAAACCACUCUUCGGAAGAACAAAAAAAUAUUCCCACAGUUCCAUGAAAUACUAAUCCCCACCAUUAAAAGCAAAGAUGUAAGCUUUUUUCAGCCUUUCUUUCUUACACUAAAACUGUAGAUUGUGUAGUACUGCAAACUGCAGACAGUGUAAAAUUAAUAUUGAACAGCUGUUCGAACAACUGCAUGGAGGAAGAGGAGUGUAUAGUAUCACACACUGUGAGUCAUCAGCUCCAAGAAACCCUAAUUUUUUUUUUUUUUUUUUUUUUUAUGGGACUUCUUAGUCUUUAGUUUUCAGAUCUGGGAAUUUCUGUGUUUGGAUUAUGCAUUCCUGGUCGGAAAAUAAUUCCAAGAAAAUUUAUGGGUUCUUUUCUUUCUCCUGUUGUAAAGGGGGAGAGACAAAAAAGAAAGAAUUUUUGACAGAAGAGAGUGAGCAUACGCAGGCAAUUGUAUUAGUGUAUACCUUUGUGUGUAUGCGUGUGCUCACUUCUUUUCUGUCAGCUUCUCUCUCUCUCUCUCUCUCUCUGGUUUUCAGACCUGAAUUCAUACACCUUUUUUCUUAUGGGUUUUUUUGUUUUUUUGUUUUUUUGUUUUUGUUUUGUUUGUCUAACAAUAUCUACCUUAUCCGAUGAUAUAAAGACCAUGAUUGGGUGAUUUACUCAUGACAAGUCAUAACUUGGUCGAGGCAUACACAUUCGUAGUUUGAUUUGCGAGGGUAGAAUCGCUUCUGAACCGGUUUGUGAUUAGGAAGGCUUCGUUUGGAGACUUUCUCAAAAAUUUCGGACCAAAUAUUUAUGAUUAUUUUCAGUACGUUACUGAUUUGUAAAUUGCAAUUUUAUUUGCUUUCACGAUGUAUGAUGCAUCGGUAGGUUCAUCCUAAAUGGUUUCGUUGAGGUUGCAAGAGGUUUGUUUGAUGCUACACGAACUAAAUUUUACCGUAUGAAAUUUCGCCUUCAUUUCUAUAUUGUAACUACCCAUUUGUACACAUUAGGGGUGUAAAUCAGUUGGAAAAAUUCCGAUUUUUUUUC